UACAGGGGGGGCAAGCGUUGUUCGGAAUCACUGGGCGUAAAGGGUGCGUAGGCGGGUCUUUAAGUCAGGGGUGAAAUCCUGGAGCUCAACUCCAGAACUGCCUUUGAUACUGAAGAUCUUGAGUUCGGGAGAGGUGAGUGGAACUGCGAGUGUAGAGGUGAAAUUCGUAGAUAUUCGCAAGAACACCAGUGGCGAAGGCGGCUCACUGGCCCGAUACUGACGCCGAGGCACGAAAGCGUGGGGAGCAAACAGG
rnacentral:rRNA from 1 species